rnacentral:rRNA from 1 species
GACGAACGCUGGCGGCGUGCCUAAUACAUGCAAGUAGGACGCACAGUUUAUACCGUAGCUUGCUACACCAUAGACUGUGAGUUGCGAACGGGUGAGUAACGCGUAGGUAACCUGCCUUGUAGCGGGGGAUAACUAUUGGAAACGAUAGCUAAUACCGCAUAACAAUGGAUGACACAUGUCAUUUAUUUGAAAGGGGCAAUUGCUCCACUACAAGAUGGACCUGCGUUGUAUUAGCUAGUAGGUGAGGUAACGGCUCACCUAGGCGACGAUACAUAGCCGACCUGAGAGGGUGAUCGGCCACACUGGGACUGAGACACGGCCCAGACUCCUACGGGAGGCAGCAGUAGGGAAUCUUCGGCAAUGGGGGCAACCCUGACCGAGCAACGCCGCGUGAGUGAAGAAGGUUUUCGGAUCGUAAAGCUCUGUUGUAAGUCAAGAACGAGUGUGAGAGUGGAAAGUUCACACUGUGACGGUAGCUUACCAGAAAGGGACGGCUAACUACGUGCCAGCAGCCGCGGUAAUACGUAGGUCCCGAGCGUUGUCCGGAUUUAUUGGGCGUAAAGCGAGCGCAGGCGGUUUGAUAAGUCUGAAGUUAAAGGCUGUGGCUCAACCAUAGUUCGCUUUGGAAACUGUCAAACUUGAGUGCAGAAGGGGAGAGUGGAAUUCCAUGUGUAGCGGUGAAAUGCGUAGAUAUAUGGAGGAACACCGGUGGCGAAAGCGGCUCUCUGGUCUGUAACUGACGCUGAGGCUCGAAAGCGUGGGGAGCGAACAGG